rnacentral:tRNA from 1 species
GGAACUAUAGCUCAGUGACAUGGCACCUGUCUGGCAAACACGAGGUCCUGAGUUUGAUCCUCGGUACCA